UAACGGAAGGCAGCAGUGGGGAAUAUUGCACAAUGGGCGAAAGCCUGAUGCAGCUAUGCCGCGUGUAUGAAGAAGGCCUUAGGGUUGUAAAGUACUUUCAUCGGGGAGGAAAAAACAAAACUAAUAAUUUUAUUUCUUGACGUUACCCGAAAAAGAAGCACCGGCUAACUCCGUGCCAGCAGCCGCGGUAAUACGGAGGGUGCUAGCGUUAAUCAGAAUUACUGGGCGUAAAGAGCACGUAGGUGGUUUUUUUAAAGUCAGAUGUGAAAUCCCUGGGCUUAACCUAGGAACUGCAUUUUGAAACUGAAAUACUAGAGUAUCGUAGAGGGAGGUAGAAUUCUAGGUGUAGCGGUGAAAUGCGUAGAUAUCUGGAGGAAUACCUGUGGCGAAAGCGGCCUCCUAAACGAAUACUGACACUGAGGUGCGAAAGCGUGGGGAGCAAACAGGGAUUAGAUACC
rnacentral:rRNA from 1 species